GCAUGGGUGAAUUCUGCGUUGGCUUUGACAGUGGCUAAUGGAGUCAGACACCAUGCGAGAAAAAGGGUCUCUGCCUUGGGUUAUUUGCGUGGCCUGCUGUCUGGAAGGCAGCCUGUCCAGGUCCGAGGCAGGUACACAA
rnacentral:snoRNA from 1 species